rnacentral:rRNA from 1 species
GACGAACGCUGGCGGCGUGCCUAAUACAUGCAAGUCGAGCGCAGGAAAUCAUCCGAACCUUUCGGGGGGACGUUGAUGGAAUGAGCGGCGGACGGGUGAGUAACACGUAAAGAACCUGCCCCCAGGUCUGGGAUAACCACGAGAAAUCGGGGCUAAUACCGGAUGGGUCAUCGGACCGCAUGGUCCGAGGAUGAAAGGCGCUUCGGCGUCGCCUGGGGAUGGCUUUGCGGUGAAUUAGCUAGUUGGGGGGGUAAUGGCCCACCAGGGCGACGAUGCAUAGCCGACCUGGGAGGGUGAGCGGCCAGCCUGGGACUGAGACACGGCCCAGACUCCUACGGGAGGCAGCAGUAGGGAAUCUUCCACAAUGGGCGAAAGUCUGAUGGAGCAACGCCGCGUGAACGAUGAAGGCCUUCGGGUCGUAAAGUUCUGUUGUAAGGGAAGAACAAGUGCCGCAGGCAAUGGCGGCACCUUGACGGUACCUUGCGAGAAAGCCCCGGCUAACUACGUGCCAGCCGCCGCCGUAA